AUUGAACGCUGGCGGCAGGCCUAACACAUGCAAGUCGAGCGGUAGAGAGAAGCUUGCUUCUCUUGAGAGCGGCGGACGGGUGAGUAAUGCCUAGGAAUCUGCCUAGUGGUGGGGGAUAACGUUCGGAAACGGACGCUAAUACCGCAUACGUCCUACGGGAGAAAGCGGGGACCUUCGGGCCUCGCGCCAUUAGAUGAGCCUAGGUCGGAUUAGCUAGUUGGUGAGGUAAUGGCUCACCAAGGCGACGAUCCGUAACUGGUCUGAGAGGAUGAUCAGUCACACUGGAACCGAGACACGGUCCAGACUCCUACGGGAGGCAGCAGUGGGGAAUAUUGGACAAUGGGCGAAAGCCUGAUCAGCCAUGCCGCGUGUGUGAAGAAGGUCUUCGGAUUGUAAAGCACUUUAAGUUGGGAGGAAGGGUAGUAACCUAAUACGUUGCUACUUU
rnacentral:rRNA from 1 species